rnacentral:rRNA from 1 species
GCAGUCGACGAUGAUGCCCAGCUUGCUGGGUGGAUUAGUGGCGAACGGGUGAGUAACACGUGAGUAACCUGCCCCUGACUCUGGGAUAAGCGUUGGAAACGACGUCUAAUACUGGAUAUGAUCACUGGCCGCAUGGUCUGGUGGUGGAAAGAUUUUUUGGUUGGGGAUGGACUCGCGGCCUAUCAGCUUGUUGGUGAGGUAAUGGCUCACCAAGGCGACGACGGGUAGCCGGCCUGAGAGGGUGACCGGCCACACUGGGACUGAGACACGGCCCAGACUCCUACGGGAGGCAGCAGUGGGGAAUAUUGCACAAUGGGCGAAAGCCUGAUGCAGCAACGCCGCGUGAGGGAUGACGGCCUUCGGGUUGUAAACCUCUUUUAGUAGGGAAGAAGCGAAAGUGACGGUACCUGCAGAAAAAGCACCGGCUAACUACGUGCCAGCAGCCGCGGUAAUACGUAGGGUGCAAGCGUUGUCCGGAAUUAUUGGGCGUAAAGAGCUCGUAGGCGGUUUGUCGCGUCUGCUGUGAAAUCCCGAGGCUCAACCUCGGGCUUGCAGUGGGUACGGGCAGACUAGAGUGCGGUAGGGGAGAUUGGAAUUCCUGGUGUAGCGGUGGAAUGCGCAGAUAUCAGGAGGAACACCGAUGGCGAAGGCAGAUCUCUGGGCCGUAACUGACGCUGAGGAGCGAAAGCAUGGGGAGCGAACAGGAUUAGAUACCCUGGUAGUCCAUGCCGUAAACGUUGGGCGCUAGAUGUAGGGACCUUUCCACGGUUUCUGUGUCGUAGCUAACGCAUUAAGCGCCCCGCCUGGGGAGUACGGCCGCAAGGCUAAAACUCAAAGGAAUUGACGGGGGCCCGCACAAGCGGCGGAGCAUGCGGAUUAAUUCGAUGCAACGCGAAGAACCUUACCAAGGCUUGACAUACACCGGAAACGGCCAGAGAUGGUCGCCCCCUUGUGGUCGGUGUACAGGUGGUGCAUGGUUGUCGUCAGCUCGUGUCGUGAGAUGUUGGGUUAAGUCCCGCAACGAGCGCAACCCUCGUUCUAUGUUGCCAGCGGGUUAUGCCGGGGACUCAUAGGAGACUGCCGGGGUCAACUCGGAGGAAGGUGGGGAUGACGUCAAAUCAUCAUGCCCCUUAUGUCUUGGGCUUCACGCAUGCUACAAUGGCCGGUACAAAGGGCUGCGAUACCGUAAGGUGGAGCGAAUCCCAAAAAGCCGGUCUCAGUUCGGAUUGAGGUCUGCAACUCGACCUCAUGAAGUCGGAGUCGCUAGUAAUCGCAGAUCAGCAACGCUGCGGUGAAUACGUUCCCGGGCCUUGUACACACCGCCCGUCAAGUCAUGAAAGUCGGUAACACCCGAAGCCGGUGGCCUAACCCUUGUGGAAGGAGC